rnacentral:rRNA from 1 species
UACGUAGGGUGCGAGCGUUGUCCGGAAUUAUUGGGCGUAAAGAGCUCGUAGGCGGUGUGUCACGUCGAUCGUGAAAACUUGGGGCUUAACCCUGAGCUUGCGGUCGAUACGGGCAUCACUGGAGUUCGGCAGGGGAGACUGGAAUUCCUGGUGUAGCGGUGAAAUGCGCAGAUAUCAGGAGGAACACCGGUGGCGAAGGCGGGUCCCUGGGCCGAUACUGACGCUGAGGAGCGAAAGCGUGGGGAGCGAACAGG